rnacentral:rRNA from 1 species
GACGUAGGGCGCGAGCGUUGUCCGGAUUUAUUGGGCGUAAAGAGCUCGUAGGCGGCUUGUCGCGUCGAAUGUGAAAAACUCGGGGCUCAACUCCGAGCUUGCAUUCGAUACGGGCAGGCUAGAGUUCGGUAGGGGGAGACUGGAAUUCCUGGUGUAGCGGUGAAAUGCGCAGAUAUCGGGAAGAACACCCGUGGCGAAGGCGGUUCUCUGGGACGGUACUGACGCUGAGACGCGAAAGCGUGGGGAGCGAACAGG